GACGAACCACACGAACGUUAUUCGGAAUCACUGGGCUUAAAGGGUGCGUAGGCUGCGCAGCAAGUUGGGUGUGAAAUCCCUCGGCUCAACCGAGGAACUGCGCCCAAAACUGCUGUGCUCGAGGGAGACAGAGGUGAGCGGAACUUAGGGUGGAGCGGUGAAAUGCGUUGAUAUCCUAAGGAACACCCGUGGCGAAAGCGGCUCACUGGGUCGCUUCUGACGCUGAGGCACGAAAGCUAGGGUAGCGAACGGG
rnacentral:rRNA from 1 species